rnacentral:rRNA from 1 species
UACGAAGGGGGCUAGCGUUGUUCGGAAUUACUGGGCGUAAAGCGCGCGUAGGCGGUUUUGCAAGCCAGAGGUGAAAUGCCUGAGCUUAACUUAGGAAUUGCCUUUGGGACUGCGAGGCUUUGAGGACGAGAGAGGUGAGUGGAAUUCCUAGUGUAGAGGUGAAAUUCGUAGAUAUUAGGAAGAACACCGGUGGCGAAGGCGGCCCACUGGAUCGGUACUGACGCUGAGGUGCAAAAGCGUGGGGAGCAAACAGG